AGAUUACUUAAACGCUAAGUUAGGUUUUAUUCUAUAAACUCUCUCAUUCUCUCUCUCUCUCUCUCAUUCUCUCUCUCUCUCUCUAGGAUUUCGCGUCAUCCAUUGCCGGAAUCCACGAUCCGUCGUUACCACGUGGGUUAGGAGGAGAAUCUCUACGGUUAUUGUGGAACAGAUCUUUGAUUGUGGAAUUUCGGGAUUUUCCCUAAAAUCGAGGUCUUUCAGGACCUCGGUCCUAGUUGCUAAAGCAACUGGGAGGGUGGUUUUUUGUUUAGUUGUGUAAGUAUUCGGUUAUGUAAUAAACUUAGUUAGAAGCAUUUUUUUGGAGGUUGUAAACACUGAUUUAUGUAUUAAGUUGGAUGUUUGUGAAUUUAAGAAUACAGUUGGUAGACUCUGGUAUAUAUCUAGUAUAAAUCCCAAUGGAUAUUUAUAUUUUUCCGCGACAUUUAUAUCCCAGUUUUGUAUGAUUUAUACCCGUAUGUCCCUAUUUAAGGCGAGUUGUUCAUGUAUGUCUAUCAAGUACAGGUUAUUAUGUAUGUAGGUUGGCAACCUGCGUUCGUAUAAA